rnacentral:rRNA from 1 species
GGUAAACCAGCACCUCAAGUGGUCAGGAUGAUUAUUGGGCCUAAAGCAUCCGUAGCCGGCGCUGUAAGUUUUCGGUUAAAUCUGUACGCUCAACGUACAGGCUGCCGGGAAUACUGCAGCGCUAGGGAGUGGGAGAGGUAGACGGUACUCGGUAGGAAGGGGUAAAAUCCUUUGAUCUAUUGAUGACCACCUGUGGCGAAGGCGGUCUACCAGAACACGUCCGACGGUGAGGGAUGAAAGCUGGGGGAGCAAACCGGAUUAGAUACCCGGGUAGUCCCAGCUGUAAACUAUGCAAACUCAGUGAUGCAUUGGCUUGUGGCCAAUGCAGUGCUGCAGGGAAGCCGUUAAGUUUGCCGCCUGGGAAGUACGUACGCAAGUAUGAAACUUAAAGGAAUUGCG